GGCGAACGCUGGCGGCGUGCUUAAUACAUGCAAGUCGAACGGACCGAUUCCGGUAGUUUACUGUUGGGAAAGGGUAGUGGCGGACGGGUGAGUAACGCGUGGGCAAUCUGCCCCUAAGUCAGGGAUAACAGAGCGAAAGUUCUGCUAAGACCGGAUACUCGUAACCAGCUGCAUGGUGGGUAAAGGAAAGGGAGCGGGUAGGGCUGGGCCCGCGUCUCAUUAGCUAGGUGGUGGGGUAGUGGCCUACCAAGGCAACGAAGGGUAGCCGGCCUGAGGGGGUGAGCGGCCACAUUGGGACUGCGAUACGGCCCAGACGCCUACGGGAGGCAGCAGUGGGGAAUAUGGCACGAUGGGCGGAAGCCUGAUGCAGCAACGCCGCGUGCGGGAUGACGGCCGUCGGGUUGGAAACCGCUUUCGCCUGUGACGAAGCGUGAGUGACGGUAAUGGGUAAAGAAGCACCGGCUAACUACGUG
rnacentral:rRNA from 1 species